UUGGAGGGCAAGUCUGGUGCCAGCAGCCGCGGUAAUUCCAGCUCCAAUAGCGUAUAUUAAAGUUGUUGCAGUUAAAAGCUCGUAGUUGAAUUUUAGACUUGAUCUUAUGGUCCAUCCAAUGGAUGAGUACUGUUUUGAUUGGGACUUCACUUCUGAUAAACUUUUAUUCCCUUUAUUGGGUGUAAUAGGGAAGCAGGACCAUUACCUUGAAAAAAUUAGAGUGUUCAAAGCAGGCAAAAUUGCUCGAAUACAUUAGCAUGGAAUAAUAAAAUAGGACGGAUGAAUCUAUUUUGUUGGUUUCUAGGACCACCGUAAUGAUUAAUAGGGAUAGUUGGGGGCAUUAGUAUUCAAUUGUCAGAGGUGAAAUUCUUGGAUUUAUUGAAGACUAACUACUGCGAAAGCAUUUGCCAAGGAUGUCUUCAUUAAUCAAGAACGAAAGUUAGGGGAUCGAAGACGAUCAGAUACCGUCGUAGUCUUAACCAUAGACUAUGCCGACUAGGAAUCGGAAUUUGUUAUUAUAAUGACAAGUUCGGCGCCUUACGGGAAAC
rnacentral:rRNA from 1 species